rnacentral:rRNA from 1 species
CCUACGGGAGGCAGCAGUGAGGAAUCUUGGUCAAUGGACGAGAGUCUGAACCAGCCAAGUAGCGUGAAGGAUGACUGCCCUAUGGUUUGUAAACUUCUUUUAUAUGGGAAUAAAAUGUUCCACGUGUGGGAUUUUGUAUGUACCAUAUGAAUAAGGAUCGGCUAACUCCGUGGCAGCAGCCGCGGUAAUACGGAGGAUGCGAGCGUUAUCCGUCUUUAUUGGGUUUAAAGAGUGUGCAGGGGGAAUGUCACGUCAGCGGUAAAAUGUCGGGGCUCACACCCGUCGUGCCGUUGAAACUGGCGGUCGUGAGUGAGCUAGAAGUAUGCGGAAUGCGUGGUGUAGCGGUGAAAUGCAUAGAUAUCACGCAGAACUCCGAUUGCGAAGGCAGCAUACCGGCGCUCAACUGACGCUCAUGCACGAAAGCGUGGGGAUCGAACAGGAUUAGAUACCCUUGUAGUC